UACGUAGGGGGCAAGCGUUGUCCGGAAUCAUUGGGCGUAAAGAGCGUGUAGGCGGCUCGAUAAGUCCGCUCUGAAAGCCCGGGGCUCAACCCCCGGGAGGCGGGCGGAUACUGUCGAGCUAGAGUCCGGAAGAGGCGAGUGGAAUUCCUGGUGUAGCGGUGAAAUGCGCAGAUAUCAGGAGGAACACCAAUGGCGAAGGCAGCUCGCUGGGACGGUACUGACGCUGAGACGCGAAAGCGUGGGGGAGCAAACAGG
rnacentral:rRNA from 1 species